ACACCUCAACUCCUUAUGGUCUGCCAUGAUGAGCUUGGACCUUGGGGGUAUUGCUGGCCCUGCGGUUGGCUCCUCUCAAAUGGAUCAGCUUGCCAGUGUUUGGUGGCAUCACGGGUGUGAUAAAUAUCUAAGCUUGUGGUUUUCCACCAUGUAACCUUCAGCGAUGAGGGUGCACUGGAGCUCGCAAAUGUCCAUCCCCAGCGAGGACAGCUUUUGAAC
rnacentral:misc_RNA from 1 species